rnacentral:pre_miRNA from 1 species
UGGAUAGAUUAUUGUAUUCGACUAUAUUCGACAGUAUUCACGGCGUGAAAUAGGGAAUUACACUAUUUUUAAAUGGGAAAGAUAAUCAAUUAACAUAAUAAACUCCG